CCUGCUGAAGCCUACAUAUCCCUGGGGCACCUGCAAGUAGAACUACAUAUCCCAACAGAACCUAGCAUUAUACGUCACAUAGCUUACAUAUAUCCCAGCAUCACACAUGUUAGGAACUACAUUAGAAGGUCACCGAUUGGAGAAGCAGCUGCACUGGGCUCCGGUUCUUGAGUGUCAUAUCCAGCAACUGGGGAAGGAGAAGAAGUUGAGGAGCGUGCGGAUGCAAAUAUGCUGGGGAAACGGAGAUUGAGGAGGGUGCAUAAAGUCUCCUCAUAAGUUUGCAGAUGGAGUGCCUGCAUGGGAUACCUGAAUCAUGUUAUAUGAUUAUAUACUAGAUGGUUAUGAAAGUUUAAAUACGGCUCUGAAAACAUAUUAGAUAUAUAAAUGCCAUAAAUUUCAGAAUAGUUGACAGUAUUAAAUUGCUUUAAUAUGGUAUGAUGCUUGGUGCACAUGAUAUUUGAUAUCAAAAUGAUCAGAGAGGUGAUACAAAAUUGCCUCAUCUAUGAUUGAUAUUAUGAGGGGUUCAUGCAAGAAAUUAUGACAGAUAUUACAUAGUUUAAAGAACUAUUUUUUUUUUUACUGUCUAGAAAUAUUGCAUGUAUUGCUGUGCUGUGCUGUCUGCUGCCACCCAGUGUUAUGAUGCGAGAAUUGCAGCCAUUAGAUGAUUGGAUGUUGCAAGGAUACAUUUCCUUGACAACAUAUAUUCCCAAAUGAACCAAUCCAUGUUCAGUUGCAAAGAACCAAUCCGAGACAAGGCUUCCGUGGGGCAUUUCCAAUACUCACCAAUGAUAGAGAACGAUCAAAAAAGGGGAGGGGUGAAAUCAGAUGAUUUAACCCCAAGCAUAGAGACUGAGAGGGAGGCUGCUGGCUAAUCCUGGAGGAAUAACUACUGUGGUUAUUAUUAAAGCACACGGCUACUCUUGGACUCCAUAUGCAAUAUCCCUAAUUUUGAA